CUUUUUUAAUAGUUUAUGCUGACUGGAGACCAUCUCCGCUUAUUAGCUGACUAGAUCCAUGUUCUUAAUUGUCAUGCCCUAGAGAAAAAAGCUGAAGCUGGAGAGUAGGCUGAAUACCAUGUGGAAGCAGUUAAAACUAAAUGGAUCCCUGCAGUCAAGGAACAGUGGUCAGUGGUGAAAGAAUUUGUUGAACCUCAACAAAGUCUAUUGAAGCUUAUACAUCAAAGAGUACAUUAGCUCCCCAUGUUAUAAAAGCAUAAGAAUUUGUUGAUCCUUACUUUCAGGAGGCAAAGAAGUUGAGCAAGCCAUAUGUUGAUCACGUAGCCAUUGUUGCAAAACCUCAUCUUGAAAAAGUUAAAGAGUGGUGUUGAAGCUCUAUACAAAGCAGGUGGUUCAGGCCUACGAGAAAUUUCUCAAAUCCGCUUCCACAUAUCAUCAUCAAGUAUUGGCUUUUUGUCAUGCUGUGUAACUUUGUGAUAAUCUCUAUGGUUUUUUGUAAUGUUGACGGUCCUUAAAAACAAUGUCA